CCAGCACCCGCGGUAAUUCCAGCUCGAGUAGCGUAUAUUAAUGUUGCUGCAGUUGAAACGCUCGUAGUUUGUCUUGUGAGCGCGCUCGGCUGGGCUCUUUCGCUCCGGCGACUGUAUGCUCGAUGUCGAGGCGCUCUUCCUUGUGGAGUCUCUGGCGACAGAGAUUGUCUACAUCCUUUACUGAGACGAAAUUGAAAUGUUCCAUGUAGACUUGCGUGCGUGAACAAUCCAGCUUGGAAUAAUGACCUAGGCAUUCUGGGUUUUUGUUUGGCAAACUCGAAAUGAAUACGCGAUAGGAACCGACGGGGGUGCUUGUAUUUGGAGGCCAGAGGUGAAAUUCUCGGAUUCUCCAAAGACAAACUCAUGCGAAAGCGUUCACCAAGAAGGUUUCCUUUGAUCA
rnacentral:rRNA from 1 species